rnacentral:rRNA from 1 species
GACGAACGCUGGCGGCGUGCUUAACACAUGCAAGUCGAACGAGGUCCAACCAGUGGCAACACUGGAGAAGACCUAGUGGCGAACGGGUGAGUAACACGUGAGAAACCUUCCCCGAAGACUGGGAUAAGCCCUCGAAAGGGGGUCGUAAUACCGGAUGUCCUCUUCACGUCGCAUGGCGAGAAGAGGAAAUGGUCCGCCGCUUCGGGACGGUCUCGCGGCCUAUCAGCUUGUUGGUGAGGUAACGG